GGCGGCCGCGCUGAGGAGGCGAGGAGCGGCGCAGGGCCGAGGGUGCCCGUGGCGCUGAGGCGGCCCCUGCCGCGGUCCGCCCGCCUCACCUGUCGGGUGUUCCGCGCCCGAAAUGCCCGGCAUCGCUGGCCUGCGGCUGCCGUCGAAUAAUGCCCAGGGAGGUGUCGCCCUUCGCAGGACAGUUUGGAAGACUGAUUUUUCUUUUCCCUGUAUCUUAUAUUUCUUGGGUUUGGGGAUUUUUUGACCUUUUUCCCGAUCUUACUACGGUUGGGACCAGCCGAGUUUGACGUUGGUGAAUGUCUUUCUGCAGAAGGCAUCUCACGGCAGCAGGAUGAGGUGGUGCCAGCAGGGGAAAGCUGGAAGAGAAUGGAAAAGCUGGAAUGGAACAUUUAUCGAGGCUCUGUCAUGCGGAGAUGAAGUGAACGGAGAGGACUGCAGAUCCUCAGUCACCCUUCAGCCCAGUACAACCUACUGUGUACUUUGCCAGAGGACCAAAGUGGGUUUACAAGGGACAACCAGAGAGGGCUGUGCGGGCAGCAGCUUUGACCCUGAUGGAGAAGGUUUGGUUCUUCAGUGCUCAGGAGCUUCAAGACCACUUAGUCCAUGGUUUGGGGAAGACCCCAGUUUAGAUCCCCUGCAGCUGCUUCGUCAGCCUGUCCUAUCAGGUUUGCCAUCUCAGUGA
rnacentral:lncRNA from 1 species